rnacentral:rRNA from 1 species
GAUGAACGCUGGCGGCGUGCUUAACACAUGCAAGUCGAACGAUGAACCUGGAGCUUGCUCUGGGGGAUUAGUGGCGAACGGGUGAGUAACACGUGAGCAACCUGCCCCUGACUCUGGGAUAAGCGCUGGAAACGGCGUCUAAUACUGGAUAUGUGACGUGACCGCAUGGUCUGCGUUUGGAAAGAUUUUUCGGUUGGGGAUGGGCUCGCGGCCUAUCAGCUUGUUGGUGAGGUAAUGGCUCACCAAGGCGUCGACGGGUAGCCGGCCUGAGAGGGUGACCGGCCACACUGGGACUGAGACACGGCCCAGACUCCUACGGGAGGCAGCAGUGGGGAAUAUUGCACAAUGGGCGGAAGCCUGAUGCAGCAACGCCGCGUGAGGGAUGACGGCCUUCGGGUUGUAAACCUCUUUUAGCAGGGAAGAAGCGAGAGUGACGGUACCUGCAGAAAAAGCGCCGGCUAACUACGUGCCAGCAGCCGCAGUAAAAC